rfam:Desulfobulbaceae bacterium A2 Ga0073110_1347, whole genome shotgun sequence.
CGGCAGAGGCAACACAAUUGCCGACGAUUACGCAUACGCCGUAGCCGCUUAAUAACCGGCCGCGACCGUUCGCCCGGCCCGUGUCCACGGGGCCGGUAGCGGGCGUCGACUCACAGUGGACUGGCCAACCGGGGAGCCCGCGACCCGGACGGCGAGAUUUUCGCGGGCUGGCGCUGGGCCUCCCGGUUCCGGGGGAGAGACCAGGGCGAGACCACAAACUGGAACUACGCACGUAGAGACGCGAGGGGAGUAUUUCCGGACGCGGGUUCGACUCCCGCCGCCUCCACCA